CGGUGAGGGAAAAACGAUUGAGAGGUGGGACCGCAAGGGCAGCUCUUGGCAUUGGAAAAACUUCGUGGUCUCUGGUGAAUUUGACUUCAAUCAUCUGCCUUCAGGAUGGAAACCCAGGCCUUAGGAAGAGCCAAUCA
rnacentral:lncRNA from 1 species